rnacentral:lncRNA from 1 species
UCACUCAUCAGCUGAAGUAAUCUUUUUAGAAUAUAAACUUCACAUUGUAUUACCAUACUCUCUCCCAACUCUUCCCUAGUUUUAAAACCUCUGGUGUCUUCUGCUGCCCUUAGGAGAAGAUUUAUUGACUCAUUAACCCAACCAAUAAGGUCCUAUUAGCUAGCCCUGCCUUACUCCUUGGCCCUAUGUAAUACCACACUACAGACUCAGCACACUCCAGCACAACAAAGUUUCUCUCCUCAAACACACGAAGGCUGUUUUUACCUCAGAGCCUUUGCACUAGCCGUCCCCCUCUGUCUGGAACAUUCUUCUGGUUUUCACUGGAUUGGCUCCUUCUUGUCAUUCAGGUGUCAGCUGAAGUUGCCCCUUUUCAGUGGCCUUCAAUAAGUACCUCCCCAGUAUUUUGUAAAACAUCAAUUUUUGCUUCUUCAAAGCCAUUAUUAUUAUCAAAAUUACCUCAUUCAUUUACGCAUUGUGUGUCAAUCUUCACUAGAGUGUAAGCUCUAAGAGAGGAGGGACCUUGCUUGUCCUCUAAUAUCCCUGCUGUUUAUGUAGUACCUGACACCAGUCUGUGCCAGUCUAGAUAGCUGUAGAAUAAAUUAAUCAUUUUCCAGGCAGAACUCAAGAUAGAACAAAAAGCCUUGGGUUUUGUGAGUCUUACAAAUUAGUGGUGCAUGAUACAUAUUCACAUGCAAGGUUUCACUUUUUCUACUUUGGCCAUUUUUUCUCUCUCUUUUCUCUUUCUUCAGAAUGAACGUCUCUAUGUUCCCAUCUCUAAACAGGCUUCACAAAGCCAUACUUUAUCCUUCUUGUCUCUUGACAUCACCCAGAGAUCCUUUUCUGAAGAAGAGUAAUUCUAACAUGCUGUGGUCCAUAAAGCUGUUUCUUAUUAUAUUAAAUUAAAGGGCUUCCUGAUCACUGGUCUAAGGCUUGUCUAGUUUUCUUUUAAUAGAUGUUCCACUGUUGUUACAAAUAGUGUAAUUUUGUAUAGAUUCUCCUUUGGAGUUUCUGAAUUUCUUGAUCUUAAUUUGUCUUCUUUGACUUCUUUUGUGAUAAAGAAUCUUUUUGAUACUUUUCCUCUUACUAUACUUUAAACAGAAAGAAAUCAAAUAUUUAAGUUACAGUGGAUGCCACACAUUCAUUGUGUGUGUAUGUGCAUGUAUAAGUAUAUGUAACUAUUGCUUUCGUUCCAUGAAAGGAAGGUAUAUGCAAAAUGGCCUGCAAAUGCCGAAGGAGCCAUAAGACCAAAGAGAAAGGCCAGCAAGUCCAGCUUGGUGAGAAAUGCUUUAUUAAGGGGAUUCAUGGACAGAAGCCUGACUUGGGUGACCACAGAGGAGUAGAUCUCCACAAUUCCACCUCCCUUAAGACAUGUUUUUAUAGCCCUAGAGACUGGGAAUACUGGGAAUACCACUCAAGAGGAGAAUCUUUAAGAAUAGGUAUGUCAUAGUUAUAUCUCCAGGGCAGAUGAAGGACAUUAUGCCCCAAGAAUGUGCUUAAGGAUAUAGUAUACAAAAGGGAGUGAGCAGGGAAAGGAGCUGUGCUCAAGAAGUUUUCAGGUCAAAGAACAGUCAUCAUGGCAGAUUUGUCUCAAAUGACAUUAGUCUGGUUCACACAACCUUUUUUCACAUGGGUCUUCCUUAUAUCCUAAAUGCUAUUUCAUUGCCAAAAUAAAUAUCAAAGUAAAUUAUAGGACACUGACUUAUAUAAAGAGAUUUAUCUAUUUUUUUCAGUACAGAAUAGAAUCUUUUUUUAAAAAAAUUGGGGGUGUAUCAGAAGGGUGUAUCAAAAUGUACUCAUUUCCAGGUAUUUGCACACAUACACGCAUAUUCACAUGCUUCCAGAAAUCUCAAGAUACUCCUAGGAGUUACUGUGUGCUGCAAUGUGAUGUUGCAAAAAUACCAGUGCUCUAUCAAUAACACUUUGAACACUAGUGGCAUUAUAUGCAUUUGCACGGCCUGAAGAGCUAACUGCUUAAACCCUGGUCCUCAGAGUCUCUGCCCAAAACAACUUCUUUUGUUAUUGCUUUAUCCAGUUUUUCUUUCAUCUUUAGUUUCCCCUUUUAUUUUGUAUUGUUAAAUUAUACUUCAGAGAAUUCUUAAGUAUAAUGUUUUCACUGCUGUCCUGUUUUGAUGCCACCCCAGAUCUACUCACUAUACAAGGACUGCAUACAUCCAUGCCCUGCUGCAGUCUUUUAUUUGCUUUUGAGCAAACCGACAGACUUAUAUUUCAACACCAUUUUUGGAUGAGUGAACAGGCCAUACUGAAGGACUCCUGUUGAAUGAUCUAAUUUUGUGACUUCUAGUUCACAAGUGAUAUUAAUGAGAAGCUCCAUUAAGCAGGGUGUGAAGGAAUGGUCAAGCUGUCCAAUUGCUAAAAAUCCUAGGCUGAAUCUGCCAUGCAGAUUCUUUAGCACUGAAGACUGGAACAUAGUCAUGGUGUUUUCUCUAAAGGUUAUAGUCCCACAGCAAAGACAGAAAAAUGACCUGUGGUCAAUUGUAUAUAGUUUUGGGAUUGUGUUUCAAAAGAGGAUCUGUCUUACACUGAAUUCCUAGAUGACUUCUGUGUUGCUUUGUAGUUGAAGUUGGAAAAAAUUCUCAGAAGCCUAAAAACUUUUCUGACAUUAUUUUAGUUGACAAAUAGUAUACAAGUGGUCCUGUUUUUAAAUGAGUAUUAUUUAAUCCACAUUAAACCAUCUUUGAGUUCUUACAUGAGUCUAAACUGUAUUAAAGUCAAAAGUAAUGUUUAGGGAGGGUAAAAUCAUAAAUGUGAUUCAUAAAUACUUAAAAGAUCAACACUAGAUCUCCUAGUUGAAUAGAAAUCUCACUUAGAAUUGUAGUUUAUCUUUGAAAGAAAAACUUCUGGGAUUAAGAGUAAACCCGUUUUAGGAAAGAAAUCAAAUAUUAUGGAAUUUGAAAAUCUAAUUUGACAUAUAUUAGAUUAAUGCUCUGUAAAAUCCUAGAGUCUGAAUUCAGUUUACACAAUGUUUGACUUAAUUCUCUUAUUUCUUUUUCUCAUUUUUCCUUUGUUAUUUAUGUUUAAAUCUUGGUGAGUUUUCCUUGUAUGGGUUUAAACAUUCAGUACUGAAUUCUAAAGGAACAGGUCCCUCCCUGCCUUUUUUCAGUGAACUUUUGAGAAGCAAUGGUCAGGAAUUUGUGUGUGUGUGAAAUUACUCUUUUUAUGAAUAUAUAACCCCAAAAUUUCACCAAUGUAUAUGUUUUUUGCUUGCAAAUAAGUAGGGAUUUAAAAAUUUGGCACAUAAAGAACAAGGUUGAUAGAGGCCUUUUCAUAUAUUUGUAUCCCUAAUAUGUUUUUAUUUUUUAAAAAUAUGCUGCAUUUGAUUGAACUAAAUUUGAUUUAGGCUUGUGCCACACAACUAUAAUUCCUUCAAAAACAUGUCAAUAUUGCAAUAUAUUUAAGAUGAUGUCAGCAACAAUUCCUUCUUUAUUUAGAGUAAUGUAAUCUGAAACUAUCAACUUUUUCUACUUUCAUGAGCUUUUGACUUUCAUACCAUAAUGCAUGAAAUAAUGCAUUUUAUUUAAAGCUUUUGGUAAAAUGUCCAUCACUGGAGGGAAAAUUUUUAUUUAAAUAUGUUCCUUCCAUUGAAAUCAGCUUUUCUCCCAGUAUCUUUGUUUCUUUUAAUAUUCUAAACCUUUUGAGUUACUUUGGUUUAAUUAGUUAUCUCCUCAUUUAAAAAUUAACAUAAUGAUCCCUCUUUUGGUCAAAGAAUUGAACUAAUCAGUGUGAUUAAGGUGGGGAAGAAAAUAUCCAAUGAUAUUGCACCCACAUUACCUUAUCGAUUCUCUUCAGAUAGACGUGAUUAUGCGACAUGUUGAAUAGUAGAUCUGGGCCAAAGGGAAGAAGGAAUAAUAUUGGAAGUAUGUGAAAAAAAAAAA